rnacentral:rRNA from 1 species
UACGUAGGGUGCGAGCGUUAAUCGGAAUUACUGGGCGUAAAGCGUGCGCAGGCGGUGAUGUAAGACAGGUGUGAAAUCCCCGGGCUCAACCUGGGAACUGCAUUUGUGACUGCACGGCUGGAGUGCGGCAGAGGGGGAUGGAAUUCCGCGUGUAGCAGUGAAAUGCGUAGAUAUGCGGAGGAACACCGAUGGCGAAGGCAAUCCCCUGGGCCUGCACUGACGCUCAUGCACGAAAGCGUGGGAGCAAACAGG